GGGGCUGUAGCUCAGUUGGGAGAGCGCGUGAAUGGCAUUAACGAGGUCGUCGGUUCGAUCCCGAUCAGCUCCA
rnacentral:tRNA from 1 species